rnacentral:tRNA from 1 species
GCGGAAGUGGCUCAGGGGGAGAGCAUCGCCUUGCCAAGGCGAGGGUCGCGGGGUCGAAUCCCGUCUUCCGCUCCA